rnacentral:rRNA from 1 species
GAUGAACGCUGGCGGCGUGCCUAAUACAUGCAAGUCGAGCGAACGGACGAGAAGCUUGCUUCUCUGAUGUUAGCGGCGGACGGGUGAGUAACACGUGGAUAACCUACCUAUAAGACUGGGAUAACUUCGGGAAACCGGAGCUAAUACCGGAUGAUAUUUUGAACCGCAUGGUUCAAAAGUGAAAGACGGUCUUGCUGUCACUUAUAGAUGGAUCCGCGCUGCAUUAGCUAGUUGGUAAGGUAACGGCUUACCAAGGCAACGAUGCAUAGCCGACCUGAGAGGGUGAUCGGCCACACUGGAACUGAGACACGGUCCAGGCUCCUACGGGAGGCAGCAGUAGGGAAUCUUCCGCAAUGGGCGAAAGCCUGACGGAGCAACGCCGCGUGAGUGAUGAAGGUCUUCGGAUCGUAAAACUCUGUUAUUAGGGAAGAACAGAUGUGUAAGUAACGGUGCACAUCUGGACGGUACCUAAUCAGAAAGCCACGGCUAACUACGU